rnacentral:rRNA from 1 species
UAGCCGUAAACGAUACUCGCUAGGUGUCGGCCACGGUGCGACCGUUGUCGGUGCCGUAGGGAAGCCGUGAAGCGAGCCACCUGGGAAGUACGGCCGCAAGGCUGGAACUUAAAGGAAUUGGCGGGGGGAGGCACAACAACGGGUGGAGCCUGCGGUUUAAUUUGGACUCAACGCCGGACAACUCACCGGGGACGGACAGCAAUAUGUAGGCCAGGCUGAAGACCUUGCCUGAAUCGCUGAGAGGUGGUGCAUGGCGUAGACGUCU